rnacentral:rRNA from 1 species
GACGUAGGGUGCAAGCGUUUGUCCGGAUUUAUUGGGCGUAAAGAGCGUGUAGGCGGCCAGACAGGUCAGCUGUGAAAACUCGAGGCUCAACCUCGAGACGUCGGUUGAAACCGUCUGGCUAGAGUCCGGAAGAGGAGAGUGGAAUUCCCGGUGUAGCGGUGAAAUGCGCAGAUAUCGGGAAGAACACCCGUGGCGAAGGCGGCAUCCUGGACCAACACUGACGCUGAGUGAGCGAAAGCGUGGGGAGCAA